UACGUAGGGGGCGAGCGUUGUCCGGAUUUACUGGGCGUAAAGCGCGUGUAGGCGGCCGCAUAAGUCGGGUGUGAAAGCCCGGGGCUCAACCCCGGGAUGCCGCCCGAGACUGUGCGGCUUGAGGACGGAAGAGGGGCGUGGAAUUCCUGGUGUAGCGGUGAAAUGCGUAGAUAUCGAGAGGAACACCUGCGGCGAAGGCGGGUUGCUGGGCUGACACUGACGCUGAGGCGCGAAAGCUAGGGGAGCGAACGGG
rnacentral:rRNA from 1 species